AGCCGGGAAGGAGGGGAGCGGAGGCCCGGCAUGGGCAGGCCGGUGAAGAGAGCCAGGAUCCCUGGGUGGACCUGUCUUCAGCUUCCCUGUGAGCCGGGCUGCUCGCCUGCAGGACGCCCCGACUUGCCCACACCCCAACACUGGACAGAGCAGAAAUCCGGGGGAUCCGAUGCCGAGCCUUGUGGCCCAUCUACAGCACAGUCUUCUGGGGCUCCAUCCUGCCACAAGGAAGCUGGAGUUCGGGGUCCCAGCAUGGAACUGCAGAGGGCCUGGCAGGCGGAGCCCGUGGAGAGACUUCACUAUUGGCUCGCUCCACUUUUUACAGUCUUUCAUUCCUCGCAAAGUUCUCAGAAGUGCCCCUCCGAUAGAGGAAAGUUAAAGGAAGGAGUCUGGUCGUCCUGGAUGCAAGAAUAAGGUUAGAGAGGUUGAGUUAAUGUUUGAGGCAUCAUUCAUUACAUGCUCCAGAACACAGAUUCUUAACUUGCAAUCUGAGGACUUUUCAACGACAAGACAGCUACAAGGACCUAACACGGGUUUUACUGAGGAAGAAAAUUACUCUAUACAUCAGUUUUCCAGGAGUACUAAAAGAGAACAUAAAGUAUGGCCUACUACCUUCCUUUCUGUAUGAUCUGGGCAAACCGACCGGUGGUGGCAAGAGUAGUGUCAAUGAAGUGAUCCACACAGCAAGAGAGGCAGUUUCAGUGCGGGAGUCUAGCUGAUUUCCUGGCUUCUCCAUGCACUUAUCUCAACAUAGUUCCACGAAGUGAUGCACCUGCGCAGUGAACCCUGCCUUCUGCUGCUCGACAGCCACCAGGCUUUGUAACUCAGUUUCACUAAGCUCUGCCAUUGUCAGCUUCAAGCGCUUCGCUGUGGUACGCAUGCGUGGUCCUGAAAGCAACUUUUGCACUUUAUCAUCAACUCUAAGAUACUCAGGGGCUUCUAUCAAUGAUGAGACACAUCUGCAGAAACUCAUACUCCUUCCAUAGGAUCACACGAUCCUUGUCCAAGGGCGAACACACAGAACAUUGUUCAAACCAUACCAAUCCUGACCGGAGAGAACAGAGACAAACUGACUCACAGGAGAGAGGACCUAAGUACUUUAAUACAUUUUUUUGAAAUUAUUAUAAAUUAUUUUACAAUAUCCAGAGCAAAUGAAACUAAUUUAAAAUAUUUUGUAAUACACAUGUCCCCAGAAAUAUUUUGUGAAGUUAAAAAUAAAAGAAAAAAAAUGGUCUUGCCAAAUUUCACUACAAAUCAUGAAUGCUAUUUCAAAAAUAAGAAAACAACAACAGCAGCAGCAAAAACAACAACUAAAACAAAAACACCAACAAAGAAAUAGAAGAUAUGAGGAUGUUUUCAAAAUUAAACCUUUAGAGAUAAUUGUCUUGGCACAGCUGCAGUUCCAGUUCGUGAAGGCUAAUGCAGGAGUUUGAUGAAUUUCAGGGAAACUAUGGCUAUGAUGACAGUAUAUAAAGAUGAAACACAAUAAAAAUACACAUGAAUGAAACUAAGGCUCUAUAAUACUAAUAUUAGAAGAUAAACACAAAAUUUAUCUUUCCAUUCUUCUUUCUGUGGUGAUAAGAUAGGAAGUGAGCAGUGAUUUAAUUAUGUUUACUUUUUAAUUGAUUAUUUUAUUUAUUUACAUUUCAAAUGUUAUUCCCCUUCCAAGUUUCCCCUAUGCAACCCACCUGUCCCAUUCCCUGUCCCCCUGCUCUAAGAGGGUGCUUCCUCACCCAUCCACUCCCUCCUCACCCCUCUCAUAUCCCCCCCCCAUGCUCGGGCAUCUAUCCUCCACAGAACCAAGCCCCACCCACCCACCAAUUGAUGACCAACAAGGCUAUCCUCUGCUACAUCUGCAGCUGGAGCCUGGGUCCCUCCAUGUGUAUUCUUUGGUUGGUGGUUUAGUCUCAGGGAGAUCUUGUGGUGGGGGGAUAUGGUUGGUUAAUAGUUGUUCUUCCUAUGGGGUUGCAAACCCCUUCAGCUUCUUCAGUCCUUCCUCUAUCUCCUCCAUUGGAGUCCCAUGCCCAGUCAGAUAGUUGGCUGUAAGAAUCCACAUUUUGAUAUUCAAGUAUUCCUUAACUAUGGCAUUAACAAAGAAACCCAGAGAAGUUCACACAAUGCCAUUUUCCUAAUGGUCAAAAUCAAUUAAAACU
ensembl:antisense 4921504A21Rik RIKEN cDNA 4921504A21 gene